UACGUAGGGUGCAAGCGUUGUCCGGAAUUAUUGGGCGUAAAGAGCUCGUAGGCGGUUUGUCGCGUCUGCUGUGAAAACCCGAGGCUCAACCUCGGGCCUGCAGUGGGUACGGGCAGACUAGAGUGCGGUAGGGGAGAUUGGAAUUCCUGGUGUAGCAGUGAAAUGCGUAGAUAUCAGGAGGAACACCGAUGGCGAAGGCAGGUCUCUGGGCUGACACUGACGCUCAUGCACGAAAGCGUGGGGAGCAAACAGG
rnacentral:rRNA from 1 species